GCCGGGCGGAGAGUGCAUGUGCGAGGUCCUUAGGGCAUUUGGUUGCUCGUUUACCUCGCGGGAAGGUCUGAGACAAGUAGCACACAAUCUCCGUGAUGGGGGGCUACGUAAGAGAAGCGCGGGUCAACAGACACGGCUUCGGGGGGGCGCUACGAACUCUGAGAGCAGUCAAUUUGGCUGUGAGGGUCAGGCGUCGCCUCGGAAUGAGACGAUCCGUGCUGAGCGCGUAAAGCGAGAUUUGCACUACCAGAACUCAAUUCAGACUACUCCCGCCGCGGC
rnacentral:RNase_P_RNA from 1 species